UUUAUUUGCCUGCAUGUACAUUUUAUCCUGACUUGAUGGCUCAUCACCUCACUGUUUUCAGUUUUAUACAUGUAUCGUUGAGGAAAUUAUAUUAAUUUUAUUAAAAGCUGUAUUUAAAUGUUUUCUAAAAACAAUUUCCUUUACGAGCCACAGCUGAUUUGAACGAGUUUGUUCAUUCAGAUUCAGAACUUUUAAAACAUUGGGUAGACUCCAUCUGGGCAGGCUCGCAUUGGUCGAAUCAACGUUGUUUCCACACUGAAAUGACUUUGAACCAACCUGGAAUAGACCUUGAAUUGACGUCUGUGCCUAAUGGGGCCUUAACCAACAGGUUUGCCUACAUUGUUAACACCAUUCAGAAUGCAUAAUCCUACAAAGAGUGGAGUUCCUACCUUUUGGGGUGCUGCUGGAGGAAAUGGCAAUCUCAGAUUUAUCUUGACAACAAAAGUGAGAAGGUGGAGGAGGGUCGGAACAACCUGAGACUGUCCCACUUAGAUGAACUGACACUGGCUCCAGCUUCUUGGCACUGCACACAGUAACCGUGGUUACGCAAGUAACAUCCCACCCUCCUCCACCUUCUCACUUUUGUUGUCAAGUUAAAUCUGUUGAUAGGGCACAGACCAAUAUUAUGUGAAGAAACAAACAGACCCCCAUUACCACAAUGACCCUGGAGCCACCCUGAUGCUGAGAUCAAAGCCUAAACUUUGACCCAGCAACAAGAUGGGAAAUAUUACCUAUUUAGCUACACACACACACACACACACACAUGCAGUGUGUUUAUUCUACAAUUUCAUACAGUACAUGUCAUACAGUAUGUGGGGGUUUAUGUAGAUAUGAGAGAGAAGUGAAGAAACACAGACCCCCAUUACCACAAUGACCCUGGAGCCACUGCCUCUGAUUGAGAACCAUAUCAGGCCAAACACAGAAACAGACAAACUAGACACACAACAUAGAAUGCCCACUCAGAUCACACCCUGACCAAUAUCUACAUACUUAGUCUCACCCAACCAGCCCCUAACACUGUAAACUUAACCCACCCCUCUCCACCCUGACCCCUCAGACUCUGGCCGCGUUCCUCUGCCCAGGCAUUGCUGACGCCUGCCAGAUCUUACAACGCCUGGAUAGUUAUUUUAAGUAUCAGCUAACCACAUCAUAUGUUAUAGCAAUCACAACACAGUUGAUACAUGCAAAGUUUGAGCAGGGGUAUGCGACUUCUACCUCCUUGCCCUGUAAACGCUGACCUCUAACCUUACAUGUCCCUGUUAAUCUCUGUCCCCAGGACCUAGCCACCCCUGAGGACUUCUUUCAGAACUUGCACCUCUCUUGGUUGAGAAAACAUGCUGAGUAAGGGGAAGCAGGUCCGGUCUGUGGAAGUCAACGCCCAGGUCAUAGAUGAUCUGCACUGCCAGGCCGGUUCCAGACCUGUCCUCAAGGGAGGCUCCAUUGUUUAUGACUAAACUGAGAGGAUAUACAGUAGCCAGAUAAUUAGCCUUUGCUCUAGUGGUGGUUUCCAAAACUAGUUGUCAAAAGUAGAAAAUGUUAAGAUUAACAUCUCACACACGACAACUGGAGAACUAUUGUGUCUUGCUUUACACUAUUGGAGGCAAAGUGGAAUGGCGUUAGAGGUAAAAGAGGAGGAACAUUCCAACGUAUCCUCCCUCUGCCCUCACGUCCAGACCUGCGGCUCUCUAACCGUUUUAUGGCUCUGAGCCCCCUGACAUCACCGGGGCCCUCCGGUGAGGCCUUCCCACUCCACCUCAGCACCCAGCGCAAGCUCCUCUGUAUCUGGUCCUGGGUUAAUGAGCUGGCCAUCCCCUGGAUCAUAACACACCUCACAGGCUCACAGCGACAUUCUUGUCGUCCUCCACUAGUGGUUGUUAUAGGGAGCUCCAUAGUUAGGGAUGUGGUGGUCAUGGAAACAAGUACCCACUGCUUCCCUGGAGCCUGUGUUUGUGACAUAGAUCACCAGGACCAUGCUGUGAUGGAGAAGCAUCCAAAUUCUCACACAGUCAGCGCGGGCUCCCGAUUGGCGCAGUGGUCUAAGGCAGUGCUUGAGGUGCCACUACAGACACCCUGGUUUGAAUCCAGGCUGUAUCACAACUGGCUGUGAUUGGGAGCCCCAUAGGGUGGUGCACAAUUGGCCCAGUGUUGUCCGGGUUUGACUGGUGUAGGCUGUCAUUGUAAUAAGAAUUUGUUCUUAACUGCCUUGCCUAGUUAAAUAAAAAAUAAUGUUGGUACAAACCACAACAAUCUUCAUAAAUCGUGGUGAAUUUAAGAGGACUUCAGAGGGCUCAUAGGCAGGCUAGGCAGUGGGUCUCUACCAACAAAGGGUCACUGAAUGGAGUGCUUUAGUCGUCUCCUCUGGCAACACCUCUGGCUUAAAUCCUACUGUUCCUUGAUGCAUUUUGAAAACAUUGACCAUUUUCAGCACUUUUGGGAGAGGCCCCAGUUUUACAAGAGGGAUGGCUUGCAUCCAAUUAUGAAAGGGGCAUACGAAUUUGGCGAUAUCGUUUAUAGGAAUGCAGCUUUCACUGUAUUGAUGCCCUUGGACACAGUUUAACAUUGCGCUUUGUUACGAGCGAUUACAGGUAAUUGCAUUUUGAAUGAGAAAGUAGGCUGGCCCUCUCUGAAGUCUCGUAGAUUGAUGCAUUGCACUCUUUUUGUCAAAGACCUUUUGCAUUAACGUCCGACAUACCUUACGUCAUUGUUGACCUUCAGACCCGUGCUCAGGGAUGGCUAACCCUGGAGAUCUCUUUAAUCUCCACCGAGUUAAGGAAAUCUGCUUUCAGUUUUUUUGUGCCGCAUUUUGGAAUGCUCUCCAAAAGUCCUUAAAGUUGGUGGAUUGAGUGUUCGAAGUGUUUUGUUUUUCAGAUGAUUGUUUUGCUUUCUGUAUUUUUGUGUUUGCUUUUCAUGUGUUGUAUAAUUGUUGUGCUCUUCAUUGUAAUUGUUGUUUAUUGAUGUCUUUGACAAGUCAUCAUUGUAAAUAAUAAUUUGUUUUUGAUUGACUUACCUGUAUACGUAAAAGUGAAAUUAACAAUAAAUGUAAUUUCUUCUUGGACAAAUGUCAUUGACAGCAUGCUUUGGAGAGAGAAAUACAUUGUUUUCUUCUCGAUAAGUGUCUGGUUGGUGUUCUGUUCUUUUCCUCCCCUGUGAAUCAUCAGGUCUGUGCUGUGUGAGCUGUGGACAUGUGGCUGUGAACCAGGGCAGCCCUAUAUGUGCCCUAGAGGGGAAAGGUUCCACUGACCCAUAUACCAGUGAUGCCAAGUUUCCUUCUGAGGAGCUGCCAAGGAGACUGAAAAGAUUUGGCAUGGGUCCUCAGAUCCUCAAAAGGUUCUACAGCUGCACCAUCGAGAGCAUUACUGCCUGGUAUGGCAACUGAUCAGCCUCCGACCGCAAGGCACUACAGAGGGUAGUGCGAACGGCCCAGUACAUCACAGGGGCCAAGCUUCCUGCCAUCCAGGACCUCUACACCAGGCGGUGUCAGAGGAAGGUCCUAAAAAUUGUCAAAGACUCCAGCCACCGUAGUCACCACUCUCUGCUACCGCACGGCAAGUGGUACCGGAGCGCCAAGUCUAGGCCCAAGAGGCUUCUAAACAGCUUCUACCCCCAAGCCAUAAGACUCCUGAACACCUAAUCAAAUGGCUACCCAGACUAUUUCAUUCCCCCCCUGACCUCUUUUACACCGCUGCUCCUCUCUGUUAUUAUCUAUGCAUAGUCACUUUAAUAACUUAUAAUGAACAUAGUCACUUUAAUAAAUUACAUGAACAUAUUACCUCAACUAACCGGUGCCCCCACACAUUAACUCUGCACCUGUACUCCCCUGUAUAUAGUCUGGCUAUUGUUAUUUUACUGCUGCCCUUUAAUUACUUGUUUAUUUUAUUUCUUAUUCUUAUCCGUAUUUUUUUUUAAACUGCAUUGUUGGUUAGGGGCUCGUAAAUAAGCAUUUUACUGUAAGGUUGCAUUUGGUGCAUGUGACUAAUACAAUUUGAUCUGAUUUGAAUUUGUACAGCCGCAAAAUCAAUAACCAAUGUCCUUUGGGACACUAUUCCUGAGGGAGAUACUGUGGAGACCGGUAGACUGAUUUGUCACAUUACUCCUUUUAUACAUGCAUUGACAGGUGUUUGUCUUGUGUGUGACGCGGCAUGCUGCUGUACAGGUACCAUUUUCAGGGCCCGUGUGGGACCACACUACCCCUGGCGUUGGCGCGUCAACGUCUGAAUUUAUCCGAGGGGCGGGGUCUGACCUCUGGGGCUCUUCUCAUAUCCACUCCAGGGUUGUUCAAUUCCAUGGCAAUUAUUCUCAGAUCCAAAAAACGUGUCUGAAGACACUUUCAACUAGGAAUUAUUGGUGGAGGGAGUGUUGCUGUCUGCUGCAGAAGACUGAAUAGUAGAGCAGAGUAGUCUGACUGGAUACUUGAUACUUGUUAGGUUAACUUAACUGGAACUGAGAUGUUAUGUGUGUAAUUGUUGGUUCUUGAAAGGCAGAAAAGGGGCUAAGUGCAUAUUCAGCUGAAUAUAAGAAAAUGGGUCAGGCUGCUGAUUAUCCCGCACACCAUCGUCUCGGGCACCUGCGCCUCAUGACACUCACCUGGACUCCAUCACCUCCUUGAUUAUCUUACCUAUAUCUGUCACUCCCCUUGUUUCUUUCCUCAGGUGUUAUCGACUGUUUUUAUGUUGGUGCGUUGUUUGUCUUACAUGUUUAUUGUUUCAUUUAAUUAUUAAAACACUCACACCCUGAA
ensembl:lncRNA